rnacentral:rRNA from 1 species
UACGGGGGGUGCGAGCGUUGUCCGGAAUCACUGGGCGUAAAGGGCGCGUAGGUGGUUUGAUAAGGGUGUGGUGAAAGUCCGGGGCUCAACCCCGGAUCUGCCGUGCCGACUGUCAAACUCGAGGGCUGUAGAGGCAGACGGAAUUCCGGGUGUAGCGGUGGAAUGCGUAGAGAUCCGGAAGAACACCGGUGGCGAAGGCGGUCUGCUGGGCAGUUGCUGACACUGAGGCGCGACAGCGUGGGGAGCAAACAGG